rnacentral:rRNA from 1 species
GACGAACGCUGGCGGCGUGCUUAACACAUGCAAGUCGAACGGAAAGGCCCUGCUCUUGUGGGGUGCUCGAGUGGCGAACGGGUGAGUAACACGUGAGUAACCUGCCCUUGACUUUGUGAUAACUUCAGGAAACUGGGGCUAAUACCGGAUAGGAGCUCCUGCUGCAUGGUGGGGGUUGGAAAGUUUCGGCGGUUGGGGAUGGACUCGCGGCUUAUCAGCUUGUUGGUGGGGUAGUGGCUUACCAAGGCUUUGACGGGUAGCCGGCCUGAGAGGGUGACCGGCCACAUUGGGCCUGAGAUACGGCCCAGACUCCUACGGGAGGCAGCAGUGGGGAAUAUUGCACAAUGGGCGGAAGCCUGAUGCAGCAACGCCGCGUGCGGGAUGACGGCCUUCGGGUUGUAAACCGCUUUCGCCUGUGACGAAGCGUGAGUGACGGUAAUGGGUAAAGAAGCACCGGCUAACUACGUG